UAUAUUUUUUAAAAACCUAAUAACUUUCAUAAUUAUAAUAAUUUCACUUUUAUUUUAAAUAAAUUAUUAAAUUUAAUUUUAUUAUUUAUAUAUUUAACAUUUAUAAUCUAUUGUUUAAUAUUAAAUAUUAAUAUUUUUUUUUUAAUUUGUUGUAGAAAUCAUAAUGGCAACGACUACUAGCUCUACUCCUCAAAGCUCUACUCCUCAACGGACUUUCAAAACUGACCCAAAUUCACCUUUAUGGAAAUAUGUCAAAAUAAUAGACCAAGUAAAAGGUGGUGGAACAUUUUUAUGGAUAUGCAACUUCUGUAGUACGAAAAAAACUAGCUCCUACAGUCGUGUCAAAGCCCAUUUUUGUGCCAUUCCCCAACAAGGAAUCAAACCAUGUCUAGGAAAGAAUGGAAAUGGGAUGUCACCUCAAGAAAUAGCAGGAUAUAUUAGAGAGCAAGAGGAAGCAGAUGCAAGAGUUGGUCGUGCCUCAAACCAUCCUUUGUUGACAAGAAGAGGAAGUAAAUCAAAGAGGCCCCCUACUUCUCCAUCUUAUAGCGAUUUUCCUGAUAUCGUGGUAGAGAGCCACCCAUUCUUGGACCCAAUUAGUGAAGAACCUGUUAUUGUGAAGAGAAGCAAGGGACCAUUAGAGAGAGCAUUUAAGAAUGAUGCUAGAGAGAUUGCAGAUCAAUCCGUUGGAAGAUGUCUAUAUGCAAACGGUUUGUCAUUUAAUGUGGUACGAUCACCAUAUUGGCAGGAUAUGUUGAAAAAGGUAAAUGAGGCUCCACAAGGGUACAUAGGGCCAGGUUAUGAGAAGGUGCGUAGCACCUUACUAGCAAAGGAGGUAAAAAACAUAGACAAUGCAUUGGCUCCCAUUAGAAAUUCAUGGAAACAAACAGGGGUGUCCAUCAUUUCAGAUGGAUGGAAGGAUACCAAAAAUCGGCCAUUAAUUAAUGUAAUUGCAGUGUGCCCUAAAGGGGCAAUGUUUCUGAAAGCUGUGGAUUGUGAAGGACAGGUGAAGGAUGCACAAUUUAUUGCUAACAUCCUUAUACAAUGCAUUCAAGAUGUGGGACCUCAAAAUGUUGUCCAAGUAAUAACGGAUAAUGCAAAGAAUUGUAGAGCUGCAGGUAUGUUGAUUGAGACACGGUUUGAACACAUAUUUUGGACACCUUGUGCUGUCCACUCUCUCAACCUCAUGCUACAAAAGAUAGGCAGGAAAAUAGAUUGGAUCAAACAAAUUUAUGUUGAGGCUGAAGAGAUCCAAAUAUUCAUCACAAACCAUAACAUGUCACAGGCCAUUUUCAGAUCAUUUUCACAGUUGGAGUUGCUAAAGGUAAUUGAAACACUUCAAUUUUUAAAAUCUACAUUUCACUUUGAUGGUUACUUAAUUUUUUUUUUUUUAUCAUGUCUUCUUUGUAUUCUAAUUUUUAUUUUUAAUUUUUGAAUAGGUUGCCGAGACCCGAUUUGCAUCCAACACAAUCGUCUUGAGGCGACUUGUGAAGGUGCGACAGCCACUUGCUAGCAUGGUAAUUAGUCAAAGUUGGUCCCUAUGGAGGCAAUCCAAUACUGAAAGGGCAGCAAAUGUAAAGCGCAUGAUCCUAGAUGACACUUGGUGGGAUCGAGUGGAAUAUCUUUUGAGUUUCACUGAGCCCAUCAUGAGUAUGAUCCGUUAUACUGACAUGGAUCACCCAUGUUUGGGAGAGGUAUAUGAUGGCAUUGACUCGAUGAUUGAGAAAAUGAAAGCCAUCAUCAAUGCAAAAGAGCAAGAUCCCGAAGAAACUUUCUUCAAAGAGGUUCAAUCAAUUUGUGUUGAGCGGUGGAACAAAAUGACCACCCCACUACAUCUUCUUGCAUUUGCAUUGACUCCCAAAUUUUAUAGUGAUGAAAUGCUUGCUAAGCCAUCAAGGGUACCACCAUAUAGAGAUUCAGAAGUCAGUGAAGGGUGUAGGACAACACUUACUAAACUCUUCCCAGAUUCUGAAAUGGAGGAUUUAAUGACAAGUGAGUUUGCUGAUUUUGUAGCCUCCAAUGGUCAAAGUGUUUCCGCUCUCCGUGACAAGUAUAAAAAGGAUUCUCAUGCUUGGUGGUACCUCAAUGGCCAUACAUCACCAAACCUUCAAACUCUUGCAAUCAAAGUUUUAUCGCAAGUUGCUAGUUCCUCUUCAUCUGAGCGAAAUUGGAGCACAUACUCCUUUAUCCACUCAGUGAAACGCAACCGACUGGCAGCAAGUAAGGCAGAAGAGCUCGUUUAUGUGCAUUCAAACUUGCGCCUUCUUACUCAUAAACAAAAUGAGUAUAAGGAUGGGAGCACAAAGUUUUGGGAUGUAGAUCCAGAGCGAACUGAUUUGGAUUUUUCAGCUGCCACACAAUCUUUACUUUCUGGGGAGUCUGAUAGCCAAUGUGCUGCUAGUGCAAGUGGCAGUGAGGCUGCAUGUGGUUCCAGUAGUCUACCUACAUCAUCUAAUGUCAAUGAUGAUGUUGAUCUUGAUCUUCCUAGUGACCCAUAUGAUGCUAUUGCUGAUUAUUAGUUGUGUCAUUUUAUUGUUGAACGGUUGAGCCAGUGAACAAUGAAUUCGAUAUCUAUCAUAACAUUCAAAGUUUGUAAUUUUGUUAUAGACUUAUAGUUAUAUCAAUAUGAAUCAUAUAUGAUAGUUCCAAGUUUUGUUUAGCAUAUGGAUGAUAUGUGGGAUUCUAAAUUUAAUUUUUGUUUCUACUUAUUAGAGUGUAUAUAUGUAUAUAUUUAUGAUUUUUACUUUUUUUUGUACGGACGUACCCAUACGUACCCAGGCCCCCCCUAAAAAAAAUGCCGUACCAGCGUACCGUACCCACGUACCCGUACCCGUACCCGUACCCGUACCGGCAACUUAGGGUAUCAGUAUUACAAAAUUUGCAGACUAAGAGAAUGACCUAGUUCAGGAAUAGGUCUUACAAAUCAUAUUUAAGCAUACCCAAUAGAUGUACUCUGAAUCUUGAUGAAGGCAGUCUUCUAAACAGCAGACUUAUGGGUCUGAAACACCGAGCUAGCAGCCACGUAGGUCACUCAGAAAUCUGAUUGCAGCAAUUUCAAAUCUGUCCUCUCCAACCCAAAAUACCUCUCGAUGGAAUAGUCUGAUUUGGUCGCUCAAGAAGAACAAAAAGAGAUCACCAAAACCUAGGCAACUUGCCCUAGAAUCACCACGUUUUGAGGGAACUGUACGGUCUUUGUUAGAAUCUGGUUUUUGAUUUUAAUAACCCUUUAAUCCUCUGAAACUGUUGGAAAUCUGCUCCAAACCCGCUGAUAAUGGACUGAUGUAGCCCAAUACCAAACAACAUUUGAGUGGCUUUUCCCAACUCCAAAAUAGCUAGAAAGGCGUGUGGCCAGGCAAACAAGUUCCUCACUCACAAAAUAACCAGCAAACUUCUCCAAACUGAUUUUGUGAUGCUCAAAUCAAACCCUUGAAGUAGGAUCUCCUCACACACCCUGGGAAGAUCUUUCACUUCUGUAGAUGUAAGCCUUAUGAAGGAUUUCAUCUUCACAAGCUGCUCUAAACCUUUAGGUUCAGCUAACUCCUUAGGAGGCAAAAGAGAUAAUAUUCAACAUGACCUUAAAAAUGACUUCAAGAUGCCUUCUAUGGCCUCCUAUCCCUAUGCCCUAAUUAUGGUUUUUUCUUUCCAAGUCUGCACUUUUGAUUAUAUUAAAUUUAUUCACUUUUAAUCUCUCACUAACAAACCUUUUUUUUCUCUCCUAAAGGGCGCCCACUCACUCUCUCUCUAGACUUAUUUUAAAUAAAGUAAUAAAAUACACUUUGGAGGAGUGUUUCUUAAGUUUAUAUAUUGGUUUAACUUGGCAACUUGAGAUAUUAUUCCCAAUCCACUCUAGCAAGCUGUUUGAAGAUGAACCAUGAGAGAAUCAACCCAACUUGUCUAUUCUGUUAGUCUAUGAGGACCCGGUGAUAGACUAACCCUGUUAUCUGAAGUUGGCUAGGAAAGGGACAUUACAGAUAAAGCUAAAGUGAUUAAAUCCCAAACUAUAUAAUUUCGUGUAUUCUAAAGCAGUUAUGCCAAAUUGGUAUCUAAUGUGGCUGUGGUUAAAAAAAUAACCUUUACCUUUACCUGUACCUCUAAGUCAUUUGAGAGGACUCUUCAAUGGAAUGGAACGAAGAGCUGAAGAAGAUCAAUGCUAGAGACUAAGACUAGAAACUGGUGCUCUCACAGGUUUAUAGGAAGGCUUGGGCCAGAAAAACUAAUGUUAUCACUGCCCACCACUAAGAGGGCCAAUUGAUACAGGAUCUGGUAAUGUUCGUGGGAUCGUGUUCACAAUUAAGAAAGCUUGACUGGACUAUCUGAGGAUUAAGCAAGGUGCCUUCCAUUGUAAAAUUUCUUCUGGAAUUUUCUUGAAACCAAGGCCGAUGAAGCUGUAGGGAAAGAAAAAAUUAGGAAGGGCCUUUUCACAUAAUAAAUUGCAUUCAUUUUCAAGUAAAUGGAUGCCAAAGUUAGUAAAUAGUAAAUGUUGAACAAAAUAACAUAUUUCGAGCUACCUCUUGCAGAUUGGAAUCAAUCACCUUGCUCUUUUUUUGUGGCUUACUAUGUGGAUUAGUCUGACCUUAUGAACUACUUGGACAUUGCCUUGUUGCCAGUCAAGUGUCCAUAGCUCUGAUGAGGUUGUUUUUGUAAUUCCUUUUGAGAUAUUGCUCAAACCUAGUUGUGGAUCCUUUCUUGCCACAAUUGUUGUUAUUAAUUUAACUAAGGUUAGAUGAAUAAGUGACAACUUCUAAUGCAUUGCAAAGGUUUUGUGAUGGUCUUUUCUUUGUUUUAUGUUAGCACUUGCAACAGUAUCAGUGGUGGACUGUGCUGGUUAAUAAUCUCAACCUGAGCAGUGAAUUUGAUAUAGCUGUUUUUCAACAUCUUCUGCUAAAAAGCUUGGAUGUAAACUUUCAAAGAAGCUUCCUUUAUUCCUAAAAAUGUGAUGGACAAACAAUAUUUUAUUCAUCCUAAAUAAAUUUUUGUACAUGAAAUCUAAAUAAGUUAAAGGCUCUAUUCAAGAUAAUUUAUAGAAUGCUAAGAAUUUCAAACACAUGUUCAGUGCAUUCUGUACAUCUGAAAAAGAAAGGUGUGUUUU